CACCAAAUUUCUCAAAUUCCAGAGGAAGAAGCUGAUCCUCAGGAAAACAUCUAAGACAACACCUGAAGAAAGGCUAUGACUGAGUACAAAGGACUGGAUAAGCUUCUUUUUAACCUAACUAUCCUCCAAGUUCUCAUUUGGAUAAUUUCAGUCCUCUUUGCUUUUCUUGCCAUUCCAUGUAAGCCAACUCCUUGGUAUUCCUCAGACUGUCUCCACAAAAUACAUCAAAUUCUCUUGAAGACAAAAGAAAACAGUAGAAAAAAUUAACCAAAAUCACCCAAGGACAAACUGGCCCUUCCUUGGUUCUGAUCAGACCAAUCUCAGCAUAAUUACUAACCCAUCUAUUUAACCAGCAUAAUUAGUAACCCAUCCAAUGACCCAGGCUAUUAUUUUACUAGAUUCAAAGGCUUUUUCUCAUCAUUGAUCUCUGGCUCCAAGGAGAUUUCACAGCAAUGCCUCCAGACUUCAUAACACGGACAUCUGGGAUAUUUAUCUGCUCCCUUAAUGGCCCAGGCCCCUCUCUGUAACAGAAGAAGACUAUAUGGGAUGGCAUUUUGGAGAAUGGUCUCUACGAUACAUGGAUCCUGGAUAUUGCAACUUAACUAUGGAUUUAUGGCCCCCAGCUUACCAAGAGUUUGUACCAUUGCCUAAGCCUACAGCACUGUGGGGAAACUGGAAAACCAUUGACUCAAUCACAGACAAAUGGGCCAACUCCAUUCUGGCCUUACAGACCUACAGAUAUCACCAGAUUCCUUCUACCGCCUCCAACCCCUAAUCGAUGUCUCCAUUCAGCAGGAAGAAGCUACAGAAGAAGGGACCUUUGUCCCUCUUUCCUGUUAAAAUCAGGGAGGAAUCUUAGGUGGGAACUAAAGGGAAGGUCUAAAAAAUAAGUCGCCAUGAUUCAUUGACCCACCCAGACCCAGACUUGCAGUCUCCAUGUUAUUGCACCUCUGCAGGUGAAAACCACCAAGCCUAUGAAGUGGUUGAUUUUCCAAGGACAAAGACAGCCCCAAGGAGAAAGCUAAAUUUUAUAUCAUGAUCUCAACUGCCAUCCUGGACCUAGAGAACUCAGCACAUGACUGCCUGCCUAUAAAACCUGAUUCUCUCCCAAUGACAGGGGGCCUGAGUUUUACUUUUUCAGUGCUCCCCGCCACCCUGUUGGUCAAUAAACCAUGCUUGCAAUCUCACUGUUCCAGCCUCUGCCUUCUUCCUCCCCACUGGCCUGACAGCUUCUACCUAUGAACUAGAGUAGAAAGAGCAAAUAGAAAUAGAGCAAAUAGGAAGUAGACAGAAAGAAUAUAAUCAUAAAAAUAAAAGCAAAAAUGAAUUUGGCAAAGUUGCAAGAUACAAAAUUAAUACACAGAAAUAGAUUGCAUUUCUAUAUUCUAACAAUGAAAGGUCAGAAAGAGAAAUCAGAGAAACUAUCCCAUUUACUAUCAAAUCAAAAAGAAUAAAAUACCUAGGACUAAACCUACCUAAAGGGACAAAAUACCUAUACUCUGAAAAAUGUAAGACAUGGAUGAAAGAAAUCAAAGAUGACAUAAACAGAUGGAAAGAUAUACCAUGGUCCUGGAUUGGAAGAAUCAAAAUGACUGUACUACCCAAGGCAAUCUACAGAUUCCAUAUAAUCCCUAUAAAAUUACCAAGGAAACUCUUCACAGAAUAUUUUAGAAUUUGUUAGGAAACACAAAAGACCUCAAACUGCCAAAGCAAUAUUCAAAAAGAAAAACAGAAAUGGAGGAAUCAGGCUCUCUGACUUCAGACAAUAUUACAAAGCUACAGUUAUCAAAACAAUAUGGUACUGGCACAAAAACAGAAAUAUAGAUCUAUGGAACAGGAUGGAAAGCCCAGAAAUAAACUCAAGUACCUAUGGUCAACUAAUCUAUGAUAAAGGAGGCAAGAACAUAGAGUGGAAGAAGGAUAUAUUUUAAUGAGUAGUGCUGGGAAAACUGGAAAGCUGCAUGUAAAAGAAUGAAAUUAGAACACUCUCUAACACCAUACACAAAAAUAAACUCAAAAUAGAUUAAGAUCUAAACAUAAGACCAGAUACUAUAAAACUCCUGGAGGAAAACAUAGGCAGAAUACUCUUUGACCUAAAUCACAGCAAUAUCUUAUUUAAUCUACCUCCUACAAUAAUGACAAUAAAAACAAAGAUUAACCCAUGUGACCUAAUUAAACUCAAAAGCUUUUGCAUAGCAAAGGAAACCAUUUAAAAAAAUGAAAGGGCAACCCACAGAAUGGGAGAAAUCUUUGCAAAUGAUGCAACAGACAAAGGCCUAAUCUCUGAAAUAUACAAACAACUCAUACAACUCAACAAUUAAAACCCCAAACAACCCAAUUGAAAAAUGGGCAGAAUACCUAAGUAGACAUUUCUCAGAAGAAGAGAUAUGGAUGGCCAACAGACACAUGAAAAAAAUGUGAGCUAAUUAUUAGAUAAAUGCAAAUGAGGUACUACCUCAUACCCAUCAGAAUGGCCAUAAUUAAGAAGUUAACGAAUAACGAAUUCUGGAGGGGGUGUGGAGAAAAGGGUGCU
rnacentral:lncRNA from 9 species